rnacentral:rRNA from 1 species
UACGUAGGGGGCAAGCGUUGUCCGGAAUCAUUGGGCGUAAAGAGCGUGUAGGCGGCUCGAUAAGUCUGCUGUGAAAGUCCAGGGCUCAACCCUGGAAGGCCGGUGGAAACUGUCGGGCUAGAGUCCGGAAGAGGCGAGUGGAAUUCCCGGUGUAGCGGUGAAAUGCGCAGAUAUCGGGAGGAGCACCAAUGGCGAAGGCAGCUCGCUGGGACGGUACUGACGCUGAGACGCGAAAGCGUGGGGAGCGAACAGG